UACGAAGGGGGCUAGCGUUGCUCGGAAUCACUGGGCGUAAAGCGCACGUAGGCGGGUUCUUAAGUCAGGGGUGAAAUCCUGGAGCUCAACUCCAGAACUGCAUUUGAUACUGCGGUGCUUGAGGACUGGAGAGGAGACUGGAAUUCACGGUGUAGCAGUGAAAUGCGUAGAUAUCGUGAGGAAGACCAGUGGCGAAGGCGGGUCUCUGGACAGUUCCUGACACUGAGGCACGAAGGCCAGGGGAGCAAACGGG
rnacentral:rRNA from 1 species